GAAGCACAGCGAUUUCCUUAGUAGCGGCGAGCGAACCGGAAUUAGCCCAACUUGAAAAUCUGCCUUUGCAGAAUUGUAGUCUAUAGAAACGCCCUCUGUGGCGGCAGGAGCCUAAGUCCUCUGGAAAGGGGCGUCAGAGAGGGUGAGAACCCCGUCGGCUCUUCGCUUAGCCACUCCACGAGGUGUUUUCCACGAGUCGGGUUGUUUGAGAAUGCAGCCCAAAAUGGGAGGUAAAUCCCUCCUAAGGCUAAAUACUGACGAGAGACCGAUAGCGAACAAGUACCGUGAGGGAAAGAUGAAAAGAACUUUGAAAAGAGAGUUAAAAAGUGCUUGAAAUUGUUGAGAGGGAAGCGAUUGGAGGCUGUGGGUGCGCCUAGGCUUAUGUCUCUCUGACGAGGGGCUGUAUGUGCUAGGUGCUGGUCAGCAUGGGUUAGUCUGGCGGGAUAACAGCGGGGGUUGAUACUCCGUCUAUGCCGCCGGGCUGACCAAGGUGUGAACGGCGCUCUGUCCCUCGGGAACUGCGUUGUCAAGAUGCUGGCAGAAGGCUUUCAAUCGACCCGUCUUGAAACCGGGAA
rnacentral:rRNA from 1 species